GUUUUAGAGGAAAGAAGCAGACAAUAUACACAACAAAACAAACGUGCUCGCUGGUUUCGCUUCUUGGCAGUGCAGAUGUUCCGAGACACAUCGUAGGUUCUCCAGCGCUCAAGACUUGGGUCUUUUCCCCCCUCAGAUUCUGUAAUUGUGCAGACGAACAUGUAGCAG